rnacentral:rRNA from 1 species
UUCAGAUAUGAUCCAGAGUACCACGGGACACGUGAAACCCUGUGGGAAGCAGGAGGGACCACCCUCCAAGGCUAAAUACUACCUAGUGACCGAUAGCGUAUAGUACCGUGAGGGAAAGGUGAAAAGAACCCCGGGAGGGGAGUGAAAUAGAACCUGAAACCCUGCACUUACAAGCUGUGGAAGCACAUUUCUUGUGUGACCGCGUACUUUUUGUAGAACGGGCCAACGAGUUACGUUAAGUAGCAAGGUUAAGCACUUAAGGUGCGGAGCCGUAGCGAAAGCGAGUUUUAACUGAGCGUUCAGUUACUUGACGUAGACCCGAAACCGGGCGACCUACCCAUGAGCAGGAUGAAGCGAAAGUAAAAUUUCGUGGAGGUCCGAACCCACGAGCGUUGAAAAGCUCGGGGAUGACUUGUGGGUAGCGGUGAAAUUCCAAUCGAGCCCGGAGAUAGCUGGUUCUCCCCGAAAUAGCUUUAGGGCUAGCCUCAAGGUGAGAGAUACGGAGGUAGAGCACUGAAUGUCCUAGGGGGUAUUGCACCUACCGAAGACUAUCAAACUCCGAAUGCCGUCAUCUUAUACUUGGGAGUCAGACUGUGGGUGAUAAGAUUCAUAGUCGAAAGGGCAACAGCCCAGAUCGUCAGCUAAGGUCCCUAAAUGUAAGUUAAGUGGUAAAGGAUGUGGGAUUGCACAGACAACCAGGAUGUUGGCUUAGAAGCAGCCACUCAUUCAAAGAGUGCGUAAUAGCUCACUGGUCGAGUGAUCCUGCGCCGAAGAUUUCCGGGGCUAAAACUUACUACCGAAGCUACGGCAUCAGUAAUGAUGGGUAGGGGAGCUUCCCAUACGGGUUGAAGCAUGACCGUAAGGACAUGUGGACAGUAUGGGAGUGAGAAUGUUGGCAUGAGUAGCGAGAUGUGGGUGAGAAUCCCACAGGCCGUAAACCCAAGGUUUCCAGGGGAAGGUUCGUCCGCCCUGGGUUAGUCGGGACCUAAGCUGAGGCCGAAAGGCGUAGGUGAUGGACAACAGGUUGAUAUUCCUGUACUACCGAUAACCGUUUGAGAGAGGGAUGACACAGUAGGAUAAGCUAAGCACACUGUUGGUUAUGUGUGCCCAAGCAUUGAGGCAGUCAAAGUAGGAAAUCCGCUUUGAUAAUGCUGGGAUGUGAUGGGGAGCGAAAUUUAGUAGCGAAGUAGCUGAUUUCACACUGUCAAGAAAAGUCUCUAUCGAGGUUAAAGGUACCCGUACCGCAAACCGACACAGGUGGGUGAGGAGAGUAUCCUAAGGCCAGCGAGAGAACUGUUGUUAAGGAACUCGGCAAAAUGACCCCGUAACUUAGGGAUAAGGGGUGCCACCAUCAGGUGGCCGCAGAGAAUAGGCCCAAGCGACUGUUUACCAAAAACAUAGGUUUCUGCUAAGUCGCAAGACGAUGUAUAGGAGCUGACGCCUGCCCGGUGCUGGAAGGUUAAGGGGAUCUGUUAGAGCAAUCGAAGCAGUGAACUUAAGCCCCAGUAAACGGCGGCCGUAACUAUAACGGUCCUAAGGUAGCGAAAUUCCUUGUCGGGUAAGUUCCGACCCGCACGAAAGGCGUAACGAUUUGGGCACUGUCUCAACAACAGACUCGGUGAAAUUGUAAUUCCGGUGAAGAUGCCGGAUACCUGCGACAGGACGGAAAGACCCCAUGGAGCUUUACUGUAGCUUGACAUUGGGUCUUGGUACUACAUGUACAGGAUAGGUGGGAGGCUUUGAAACCAGGACGCCAGUUUUGGCGGAGCCAUCCUUGGGAUACCACCCUUGUAGUACUGGGACUCUAACCAUAGGCCAUGAAUCUGGUCUUGGGACACUGUCAGGUGGGCAGUUUGACUGGGGCGGUCGCCUCCCAAAAGGUAACGGAGGCGCUCAAAGGUUCUCUCAGUACGGUCGGAAAUCGUACGUAGAGUGUAAAGGCAAAAGAGAGCUUGAUUGCAAGACAUACAGGUCGAGCAAGGAUGAAAAUCGGACUUAGUGAUCCGGUGGUUCUGCGUGGAAGGGCCAUCGCUCAACGGAUAAAAGCUACCCUGGGGAUAACAGGCUUAUCUCCCCCAAGAGUCCACAUCGACGGGGAGGUUUGGCACCUCGAUGUCGGCUCAUCACAUCCUGGGGCUGUAGUAGGUCCCAAGGGUUGGGCUGUUCGCCCAUUAAAGUGGUACGCGAGCUGGGUUCAGAACGUCGUGAGACAGUUCGGUCCCUAUCCGUCGCAGGCGUAGGAAAUUUGAGAAGACCUGUCCUUAGUACGAGAGGACCGGGAUGGACGUACCUCUGGUGUACCAGUUGUCCUGCCAAGGGCAUGGCUGGGUAGCUAUGUACGGAAUGGAUAAGCGCUGAAAGCAUCUAAGCGCGAAGCCAACUUCAAGAUAAGAUUUCCCACCGCAAGGGUAAGACCCCAGAAAGACUAUCUGGUUGAUAGGUCGAAGGUGUAAGUGCAGCAAUGUAUUUAGCUUAUCGAUACUAAUAGGUCGAGGACUUGACCAA